CCCACUCAUUGGUCGCGUCUCCCUGCUCAGACAUUGCAUGCAUCAACCAAUGGUUGCGUGCCAUCAUCAACAUCGACUGACAGAUUGCUAUAACAUAUGAUGCGGUUAGCUGAUACGUAAAAUACCUAUCCAGGCGAGGUAAGAUCUGGCAGGCGUCAGCAACGCUGAAAUUACUCGUCUUAUCAAAGAUCCACUCACUUAUUUUGUGUGAGAAACCUACCCUCCUCUAAUAAGCUACUGUAGCAAAACAACAAAUUGUGUGUGUGUGUGUGUGUGUGUGUGUGUGUGUGUGUGUGUGUGUGUGUAUGUGUGAGGAAAGAGCUCGUCUGUGUAAUAAUCACCCAGCUGGAAGCCCCACGCUAACAUGAACGGAUACAGUGCAGGUGGAACAGCAGAGUUGCAUUUCUACUUCAUGGUGGAAUGAUCCGAACGUGUAUUGCACCAGGGUGUUUUUUUCUUCUUCAAGGCUGACUGAUGACCAUGACAGCAGCCAUACAGCAUCAGAAGCCCAACAGCCAGAUAGAGGAAGUGUUCCAGGCCAGGAUCCAGGCCAGGACCCGGGGCAGAGUCAGAGUCAGCCUGUCCGUCUCCAUGACUCUAUACCCAGCCCUCCCCAACCUGCAUCCAGCCAUCCACACUCACUCCCCAUUUCUAUAUAUAGUCAGCCUGCCAGGGCUUGCUAAAAAUAGACCCAGUCUGCGCUCCCUCUCCUCUCCUUUCCUCUGUGGCUUCAUGGACUCUGAGACCCCCUCCCUCCCUCCCAGCUUGAUUUUCAGAGAUCCAGGUGAGGGAGUCUGGGGUUGAACCAAGAGGAUAUCAGCGGUAUGUUACACUGGCCCUGCACUGCACCUGCGCCAUAGUAGCAAUAUUCCACAAUUGGGGGCUGAAGAGGAAAUAACAGUGGAGGAAGACAGAGGAAAAGACGUGCAGCAGAGAUUCAUUAGAUUAGUUUACAACCCUCUAAUAGAAAUGAAUCUGAAAAUUGUUGUGUUGUGCACUGCUUGCAUAAGAUUGCAUUUGCCACAAAAUUGUUGUUAUGUGGAUAAAGACAGUGUGGGCACAGUAUGAUGACUGAUUAGAGAUUAAGAUGGUGUUUACAAUAUCUUCAUGCACAGUAAAACCAUGUCUCACUUCCGCAGGCUGACUGUAGCAGUAGGCCAAAAGGAAAUGAGUGGCUUGUUCAAAUGAACAUUAAAAAUAACCAAGGCUUGUUUUCUGUGUUAGUCAGGAAGGCUCCUGGGGAGCACAAAGCCAAAGAAUGUAGGAAAAACAAGUCACAUUUCCUUUUCCAGCUGCAGCGUGUUACAUAGGCAGGGUGAGAUGGGACAAUCACUUUAAACAAAGAACUCUCCCCUCAGCUACAUUAGUCUUCCUUUGCCUCCCAGUGUACCGGAUACAGCUAGAAGAGAGGAAGAGGCAACACACUCUCUCCAUCCUGAAAGACUAAAAUAUACCUAAUAGCUUAUCAUAACAUGGUAAUGAUAUGUCCUAAUUAUGUGUCAUCACGACACAUUCGCAGGAACAUUUCCAUAUUCUAUUCUAUUCUAUGAAUUGCUGUUUUCAACCAUCCCAGUACAAAAUAAAUAACCCAGAACAAAUAAAGAGCAUA